UGGUCGAUACUACUCUGAAUUUCUCUCUUUUUAAUUAUGCUCCCGCCACAGGCAACUUGACUCUCUACUACGGCUGUCCUGCCAACUUUAUGAAUGAUAUGUUAGUGAAGCCGUUGCUGGAUCCCUAUGAGUUCCGUUGCAACUCAGAUGAAUCAAACGCCGCAGAUAACUACUAUUACUCCUGGGAAUUUAGUAGUAUCUUCAAUAACAGCUUAAUUGAGGCCGUGAAAGCUUACCUCGGAACGUGUGGGAAGAGCGUUCUGCUGCCUCUGCAGCAACCAACAGUUGAGUAUUUGGUGAAAAAUCCGGCUUCGGAAAAUCUGGAUAGAGCUCUUCGGGAAGGUUUUGGGCUGCAAUGGUUUGCAAAUAAUAGUCUCUGCGACACGUGUGAACAAUCAAAAGGAGAGUGUGCGUAUUCUGCUAGGACGGGUCAAUUCAAUUGUUAUUGCCCUGAUAAAGCUUAUGCCGAUUCCUGUCCACCCCAAGAAGGUAAGUCCGUUCUCCUGAUUGUUCUGUUAGCAUCUCAGUAAGGAUUCCAUCCAUUAGGUUCAAGGUUACUUAGUUUUAAUUUAACCUUACCCAAUAUUCAUUCAGCAAAAAUUCUUGACUUUUCAUUGAAGUUCGGUAAUUGGUUGAGAAUACUCGACUUAAAUUGAAAUGAAAAUUUUCCUUGUAAUUAAGUCAGGUAAAAAGUCGAGUAUACUCGACUUUGGUUGUAUUAUUAUGUAGAAGUCAUGAGAAAGGAAGUAAAUGUAAAUAAAUAAUUUUUUUAGGUUAUUUUUGACUUUUUAUACUUUUAGGAGGUAUAUAUAUGUAAUGUGGUAUAGAUUUGACAUUUAAGGACAAAUGAGAUAUAUUUAAAUAAAAAACCCACAAAACGGAGCCUUGUGAGCUAUGUCUGUUUGGCAAUUCAUAAUUCUCUCUUUUAUUUUUUUUUAAAUUUUUUCCCCCUAUGUCGGCUUUGACCUAUGCGGUGAUCUAGAAUAUGUCAUCAUCAGCCUACCGUGCUAACCUAACCUAGUAACCAUUUAAUAAUUCAUUUGAUGGGAAUUGUUUUUUUUUUCUUUGUAAGUUUUAAAAUAUUAAACAUAGGCAUCAUUUGUUGACUUUAGUUUCGUUCCAAUGCAACAUGUGAGUUCAGGUAUUCAAUAUUCAACUUCAUACUAUGCCUUCUAAUUUUCAAAUUUCCAAAGCCCAUGGGAAAAUAACCAAACGCGCUUCAUACUCGUUUAGGCCAGCGAAUAUCAGCAUUUGCAGCACGUUCCUUGGAGAUCAAAGCUGAAAUUGACCAGCCCACUUUCUUUCCACAGAAGGUUCCCCCCAUUUUCAUCACCCCCACUUCGUCAAAGCGAAAAAAUUAAUAAUUUAGUAUCACAGAGAAUGAGAAAUUAAAACCAAUUCGUUUCUUCUAAAUUUUAUAUCUAAUUGCUUGCUCUUUCAAAAUGGGACUCCGACUCCAUCUCCAUCUUGGUCCAAGCAUGAUCGGCUUGUUUUUCUUCGUCAUAAAUAUCAUUUUCGUCUAUGUUCCACCUCCUGUGUCCGCCAAUUAUGAGGAAUAUAAAAACUGCAGCGCCCCGUUUCGUUGUGCUAACAGAGACGAUAUUGGUUAUCCCUUCUGGGGAGGAAAUCGUCCAGAAUAUUGUGGCUACCCGGGAUUUGAGUUGAAUUGCGAGGAAGAUUUUCCUGAGAUGAAAAUCUUAAACAUUACUUACAAAAUCCUGAAGAUCGAUAAAGUGCCGCGGAUUCUCACUGUUGCUAGAGAAGAUUACUGGGACAAAUACUGUCCAUCAAACUUGGUCGAUACUACUCUGAAUUUCUCUCUUUUUAAUUAUGCUCCCGCCACAGGCAACUUGACUCUCUACUACGGCUGUCCUGCCAACUUUAUGAAUGAUAUGUUAGUGAAGCCGUUGCUGGAUCCCUAUGAGUUCCGUUGCAACUCAGAUGAAUCAAACGCCGCAGAUAACUACUAUUACUCCUGGGAAUUUAGUAGUAUCUUCAAUAACAGCUUAAUUGAGGCCGUGAAAGCUUACCUCGGAACGUGUGGGAAGAGCGUUCUGCUGCCUCUGCAGCAACCAACAGUUGAGUAUUUGGUGAAAAAUCCGGCUUCGGAAAAUCUGGAUAGAGCUCUUCGGGAAGGUUUUGGGCUGCAAUGGUUUGCAAAUAAUAGUCUCUGCGACAC
rnacentral:lncRNA from 1 species